CCUUUUGGAGCACAGCAACCAGAGAGACACGCCCCCCCACCAAAACGCAAGAGCAACUCCGCCCUCCCAUUGGCUACGCCGCCUGUGACCCCGCCCCUGAGGAACCAGAGCGGGGGCCCAGGGGGCUGGGCCAGCCUCAGGGGAGGGGCCUUAAAGAGCCCCGGCGGUGUCCAGUGCGCCCAGAGCGGGCAGCGGAGACAAGCAAGAUAGGAAAGGUGAAGGAGCUAAUGUCACAGAGAACUGAAGUAAUUUGUCCGAGACCCUACAGCUUCUGGUGAACCAGGAUUUGAACCCAGGCAAUCGGCACCUGAAUGAGGGCUCCACCAUGCCACUGUACCCCCUCAGAGGGAAUCUUGCCCUUCCUCCCACCUCUUCCCCUCCUGCAAGGCUCCCUAGUCCACUCACCUUGCCGAAGGUCAAUUUCUGCCAGCUGCCCAUGAGUGUUGCCCACGAUCACUGAACUAAGGAGGAGACCAGAGGUGGCCUCUAGGACUGGCCGACGCUGGGGAGAGGCUGGAUCGUAGACACGGACCUGGAGAACACCGAAGCAUCACGAGAGCACCCUCACACCACAUAGCCGUCCCUGGGUUGUCCGUAUCUUCACUCCCUCCUUCGUACACUGCUUUCUUACUUAUGACCCACUCUUAGAGAAACUUUCUCAUCUGAAACGUACCCCCCUCUUGCUCUGAGUGUUAGGGAAGAGUGGGCAGAGGAGAUCUGCUUAGGGAGAGAGGUCCCCCAGGUUGGGGGGGUGACAGCAUUUCCAGGGUCCGCAUGUGUGGGCAUUCCACCCCUCCAUACUCCCAUCUUGGCAUGAAAAGGCAAGCCAGUCCAAUUUUCAGAGAGUAAUGAAUUUCAGGCAGAGAAAUUUAGCCUGAGCAACAGAGGAGAGAGUAAGCCCUCACAGUGUGUUUUGAACAGCGACAUAUCCCCAAGAUCAGAUUUCAGUAUGCAGGAGCAAAGGAAAUGGGACAAACACAGGGACCCAGUCCUGCCAGGGUCUUAGGACUUCAAAUGAGGCCAGCUGUAAAGAUCCCCAGUCGGGCCCGCCUGCCCUCCCUCCCUCCUAUAAAGCUGAGCUGAGGGGGCGCCUGGAUGGCUCAGUCGGUUGAGCGUCAGACUUUGGCUCAGGUCACAAUCUCACGGUCCUUGAGUUCGAGCCCUGCGUCGGGCUCUGUGCUGACAGCUCGGAGCCUGGAGCCUGCUUCAGAUUCUGUGUCUCCCUCUCUCUCUGCCCCUCCCCUGCUCAUGCUCUGUCUCUCUCUGUCUCAAAAAUAAAUGAAAACAUAAAAAAAAAAAAAAAAAAAGCCAAGGAGCCAAGGAUGCAGAGGAGUGGGUCAGGCCUGGGUCCCAAAGCAAAUCAGAGGCUGCAUCAAGACCAGAACCCAGUUCCCCUGACACCCAACCCAGUGUCCUCUCAUGACACCUGGACCGUGGGAUUCUACUGUGAAAGAAGCAGAAUUCUCCCUUCUUCUCUUCUCCUUUCCACAUUGGAAGCGAAGGAAGGGUCACAGUUCAGAAAACUCAUCCUACAAUGUACCAGAAGGUCUCUGGCUCAG